UUUAUGGAGAGUUUGAUCCUGGCUCAGGAUGAACGCUGGCGGCGUGCCUAAUACAUGCAAGUCGAGCGAACGGACGAGAAGCUUGCUUCUCUGAUGUUAGCGGCGGACGGGUGAGUAACACGUGGAUAACCUACCUAUAAGACUGGGAUAACUUCGGGAAACCGGAGCUAAUACCGGAUAAUAUUUUGAACCGCAUGGUUCAAAAGUGAAAGACGGUCUUGCUGUCACUUAUAGAUGGAUCCGCGCUGCAUUAGCUAGUUGGUAAGGUAACGGCUUACCAAGGCAACGAUGCAUAGCCGACCUGAGAGGGUGAUCGGCCACACUGGAACUGAGACACGGUCCAGACUCCUACGGGAGGCAGCAGUAGGGAAUCUUCCGCAAUGGGCGAAAGCCUGACGGAGCAACGCCGCGUGAGUGAUGAAGGUCUUCGGAUCGUAAAACUCUGUUAUUAGGGAAGAACAUAUGUGUAAGUAACUGUGCACAUCUUGACGGUACCUAAUUAGAAAGCCACGGCUAACUACGUGCCAGCAGCCGCGGUAAUACGUAGGUGGCAAGCGUUAUCCGGAAUUAUUGGGCGUAAAGCGCGCGUAGGCGGUUUUUUAAGUCUGAUGUGAAAGCCCACGGCUCAACCGUGGAGGGUCAUUGGAAACUGGAAAACUUGAGUGCAGAAGAGGAAAGUGGAAUUCCAUGUGUAGCGGUGAAAUGCGCAGAGAUAUGGAGGAACACCAGUGGCGAAGGCGACUUUCUGGUCUGUAACUGACGCUGAUGUGCGAAAGCGUGGGGAUCAAACAGGAUUAGAUACCCUGGUAGUCCACGCCGUAAACGAUGAGUGCUAAGUGUUAGGGGGUUUCCGCCCCUUAGUGCUGCAGCUAACGCAUUAAGCACUCCGCCUGGGGAGUACGACCGCAAGGUUGAAACUCAAAGGAAUUGACGGGGACCGCACAAGCGGUGGAGCAUGUGGUUUAAUUCGAAGCAACGCGAAGAACCUUACCAAAUCUUGACAUCCUUUGACAACUCUAGAGAUAGAGCCUUCCCCUUCGGGGGACAAAGUGACAGGUGGUGCAUGGUUGUCGUCAGCUCGUGUCGUGAGAUGUUGGGUUAAGUCCCGCAACGAGCGCAACCCUUAAGCUUAGUUGCCAUCAUUAAGUUGGGCACUCUAAGUUGACUGCCGGUGACAAACCGGAGGAAGGUGGGGAUGACGUCAAAUCAUCAUGCCCCUUAUGAUUUGGGCUACACACGUGCUACAAUGGACAAUACAAAGGGCAGCGAAACCGUGAGGUCAAGCAAAUCCCAUAAAGUUGUUCUCAGUUCGGAUUGUAGUCUGCAACUCGACUACAUGAAGCUGGAAUCGCUAGUAAUCGUAGAUCAGCAUGCUACGGUGAAUACGUUCCCGGGUCUUGUACACACCGCCCGUCACACCACGAGAGUUUGUAACACCCGAAGCCGGUGGAGUAACCUUUUAGGAGCUAGCCGUCGAAGGUGGGACAAAUGAUUGGGGUGAAGUCGUAACAAGGUAGCCGUAUCGGAAGGUGCGGCUGGAUCACCUCCUUU
rnacentral:rRNA from 1 species